rnacentral:rRNA from 1 species
GUAGGUGGCAAGCGUUGUCCGGAAUUAUUGGGCGUAAAGCGCGCGCAGGCGGUCCUUUAAGUCUGAUGUGAAAGCCCACGGCUCAACCGUGGAGGGUCAUUGGAAACUGGGGGACUUGAGUACAGAAGAGGAAAGCGGAAUUCCAAGUGUAGCGGUGAAGUGCGUAGAGAUUUGGAGGAACACCAGUGGCGAAGGCGGCUUUCUGGUCUGUAACUGACGCUGAGGCGCGAAAGCGUGGGGAGCAAACAGGAUUAGAUACCCUGGUAGUCCACGCCGUAAACGAUGAGUGCUAAGUGUUAGGGGGUUUCCCGCCCCCUUAGUGCUGCAGCUAACGCAUUAAGCACUCCGCCUGGGGGAGUACGGCCGCAAGGCUGA